UACGUAGGGUGCAAGCGUUGUCCGGAAUUAUUGGGCGUAAAGAGCUCGUAGGCGGUUUGUCGCGUCUGCUGUGAAAACUCAGGGCUUAACCCUGAGCCUGCAGUGGGUACGGGCAGACUAGAGUGUGGUAGGGGAGAUCGGAAUUCCUGGUGUAGCGGUGGAAUGCGCAGAUAUCGGGAGGAACACCAGUGGCGAAGGCGGCUUCCUGGACCGGUUCUGACACUGAGGAGCGAAAGCGUGGGGAGCGAUCCGG
rnacentral:rRNA from 1 species